GUGAUUAAAUCGAGCGUGUCUUCAUUGACCGCUCACCCUUCUCACCAUCCACAUACACCUGUGCACUGUUUAGCCUGAGCCGGUUUUCCGGUCCAGGUUAUCCAUUUCAUACAAACUCUAGUCUUAUGAAUGUAAACGUUUUAAUAACAUAAUA
rnacentral:misc_RNA from 1 species